GCUCACCCGCGCAAACCCUAGCUCCUCUUGAUCUCGUCCCCUUCCUCCCCGCCAGCUCUCCUCGAUCUCGUCGGAGCGGGCGGAGAUCAGGUCGCGGCGAUUCCCCACCCCACCCAGCCACCAAACCCUAGCCCACCCGCAUCCAUCCGCGUCCAUCCGCAUCCCCACUCCUCCACCGCACCCAUCCGCAUCCCCACUCCAAGAUCCAAUCCAAGGGGUUGCCCUUCUUGGCGUUCGCCUCCGCGGCGCCGAAGGCCGCGCCGCCACGACCAGGAGGGUCUCGCUCAGCGGGGCCGCACCCACGACCUGCUACCCCGCGCCUGCACCAACUCCGGUGCUGUGGCCAGGAGGGUCUCGCUCCAUGGGGCCGCACCCACGGCCUGCUACUCUGGCGCUGCGGCCAAGAGGGUCUCGCUUCGGCGCUGCUCCAGCCGCUGCUCCCGUCCUGGCGCGGGCGCCAAGGCCGUCCCCGCCCAUCUCUGGUUGUGUGCAGGCAGGUGACCAGCAGGAGCACGUAGGAGGGGUCCUUCGGUUGCCGCCAUGGCUCAGAUCUUGCUCCAUGGAAACCUCCACGUCAACAUCUUUGAGGCCUCGUCGCUCUCCCACCCCGGCCGCGCCAGCGGCCGCGCCCCCAAGUUCAUCCGCAAGGUACAUGAAGGCCGGGAGCGCCAAGGCACACCUCGCGCACGGGUCGAUCAUGGUGUACCAGCUUUGCAAGGGCGUUUCUUUUUGCCACGGACGCGGUGUCCGGCACCAUGAACUUGAGCCACACAACCUGGAAAUUGGUGGACGGGUUGGUAUCCUCUAGUUUGAUCCCAGCAAGAGGAAGUGUUCUCUUCUCUUUAUCAACCACAAAGGCACUUUCUUCUCUCAUGGAUGGAUGGGACUCCAUCAAUUUAGUAUCAGUUUAGGUGUUAGUAUGUUGUUGAUGCUUGUGUUGAUGUCAUGCUUUUUGUCUUGUCAUGUGCUGAUAUUAACUGGCAGCAUUAUCUCCCAUGAUUGCUUGCUUGCUUGCUUACUCUAUAACCUAUACUGCUAAAACAUGUUAUCCUACUCCAUGAUGCUAUAUCAUUUGCAAAUACUCCUGGACAUUAGCUCCCAUGAUGUUGCAUUAGCUAUAAUCUGUACUGCUAAAAGAGGAGUGUAAAAUGGAGUAAUUUUUUCGGCCAUUAUCUUUGUUUUCUUUUGGGCGGAUGCUCUCCACUUGAGUACAGCUGGGUACUGCAUCUCUUUUUGCAUUCCUUUUUCAGUCAGUGCUUGAACAUUUUUUUAAAGAUGAAUUGGAAUACUUCUGAAUAGCAGUACAUGGAGUAUAGCUGUAACUUCUUGCAGUAUAGCUGUAGCAGUCCAUUAGGAGUAGUUUUGCAUCAGUAGCAUUAGGAGUAACUUCUUGCAGAAACUCUUUGACACAUAUUCUCAUGCAUCAGUAGCAUGUUUGCUUGUUUUGGAGCAGCGAUUAAACUACUCCAUGUUAAAUAAACCUUGCUAGGUGAAUCUUUUCCAUUAAUUAAAUUUGUACUACUUGGAGUACUUCUUUUCAUGGAGCUGCUUGUAGUAAUUUCUGAUUUGCAGUCAGAUUAGCUUGGAGCAGUAGCAUUGCUUGCUCUGCUAUUCUCUUCUCUUCUCUUCUUUUAAUUAAAAUUAACUAAACCUUUUCCUUUAAUAAAAUUAGCUAAAACUUUUCCAGUUAAUUAAAAAUAACUGGAACUAUUCCUUUAAUGCUUGCAUAAAUCGUUUUAAAGAUGAAUUGGAGUACUCCUUUAAUGAAGGUUUUGUGUAGUCUAUUGCUUGCAUCAGUACUUUUAAAAAUAAAUGAAUUAUUUCAUUUAAGUGUACUCUGGACAGCAGUAGUAUAGCACUUGCUGCUGCUGUUAAGCUUGCAUCAGUACUGGUUGCAGUAGUUUAGUGUAGGACAACAGUAGUAUAGGACUUGGUUACUGCUGUUAAGUUUUUCUUUCUCUUCUCUCUUCUCUUCUCUUUGUCUGCUGGAGUAAACUUUUCCAGUAUACUCCUAGGAGUAAACUUUCUGUGCUGGAGUAGGAAUUGCUCUCAGGAGUAGCAGCAGUGAUUUGUUUAACAGCAGCAACAACAACAGUGCAUAUCAAUUUAUCAUGCUGACAACAGUAGUGCACACCAAUUUGGAACUGAUGCAUAUCAAUACAGUAGUGCACAAAGUUCAUCAAACAUCAUGCAAGUUCGAUGCAUAUCAAUUUAUCAUGCUGAGAAUAGAAGCAUGUGGACCUAUCAUCGUGAUUUCGUAUUUCAGUUUGUGGUAAUCUAAUGAUGUUUGAUGUCUAUUGGUUGCUGUAUAUGGGCAAGAUGAAUUGAAUCCUGUUGUUUUCUUUUUGAUGUAUACACAUGCAGAUGGUUGACACUCAUGAACAGCAAGCAACCAUACAUGCUGGCCUUUCAUGUUUCUUCACGAGCAUUAAGACAAAGAAGUUGGAAGAAGCUAGUUGGAGGUAGUUCUGGGAGUAAUGAAACCCUUUAGGCUGAUCCUAUUUGUAUGUGUGAUGUAGCAGAACUUGUAGGGCUCAUGUGAUAGAGCUGUUAUCUAAAUGUAUGUGGUAGACUGUACACUUGUAGAGCUGUUAUCUAAUUGUAAACUUGAUGCUGAUCACAUUUGUAUGUAUGUUAUCUGAUAUAGCAGAUUGCU